rnacentral:rRNA from 1 species
CGGUUGAUCCUGCCGGACCCUACUGCUAUCGGGGUGGGACUAAGACAUGCGAGUCGAGCGUCUCCCAAGCUAUUGUGAGACGCGGCAGACGGCUCAGUAACAUGUGGCUAACCUACCCUUAGGACGGGGACAACCCCGGAAAACUGGGGCUAAUCCCCCGAUAAGUGAGGAAGCCUGGAAUGGUUCCUAAUUCGAAAGGCGUCGAAACCAUGCUUUUCGACGUCGCCUAAGGAUGGGGCCCGCGUCCGAUCAGGUUGUUGGUGGGGUAACGGCUCACCAAGCCUAUAACCCGGUACGGGGCCGUGAGAGCGGGAGCCCGGAGAUGGGCACUGAGACAAGGGCCCAGGCCCUACGGGGCGCAGCAGUCGCGAAAACUCCGCAAUGCGCGAAAGCGUGACGGGGCUACCCCGAGUGCCGUCCGCUGAGGAUGGCUUUUCCCCGGUGUAAUGAGCCGGGGGAAUAAGGAGAGGGCAAGUCUGGUGUCAGCCGCCGCGGUAAUACCAGCUCUCCGAGUGGUAGGGAUGAUUAUUGGGCUUAAAGCGUCCGUAGCCGGCUUAGCAAGUCUCCUGUUAAAUUCAGCGACCUGAUCGUUGAGCUGCGGGAGAUACUGCUAGGCUAGGAGGCGGGAGAGGCCGACGGUAUUCUCGGGGUAGGGGUGAAAUCCUAUAAUCCCGGGAGGACCACCAGUGGCGAAGGCUGUCGGCUAGAACGCGCUCGACGGUGAGGGACGAAAGCUGGGGGAGCGAACCGGAUUAGAUACCCGGAUAGUCCCAGCUGUAAACGAUGCGGGCUAGGUGUUGGGGUGGCUACGAGCCACUCCAGUGCCGCAGGGAAGCCAUUAAGCCCGCCGCCUGGGGAGUACGGCCGCAAGGCUGAAACUUAAAGGAAUUGGCGGGGGAGCAC